AAAUUUAUGUAUAGUUAAAGGUGGCUCGACGAGGCCGUCAGCCUGGCAAGACCAAAAUAUUGACAAUUACCCCUGAGAAGGAAAAUAACAGUGAAUGUAUCUCAGAAACUGUAAACAACAUUUCUAUCCCUAAUAACGACAACAGAUUUGAUGACCCUAAACGCCCAAAAAGGAAGCUAAAAGAAACUCAAUCCAAUGUUAUGAAGAAUGAUGAGAUAAAAAAACAAAAG